GUUCCGGGUAAACUGCCACCAGUGGCGGCCGAAGCACCGGGAAGAGCCACGCAGCCCCUCACGCUGCUGUAAUGGGCGCCAACAUCGCGAGCGAUUCCCAGGUCGUGAGCCCUCGGGCAUCCCGCAGCGUCGGGACAGCCGCAUCACUCAGAGCCAGCGGGGCGGACAAGACCUCAGCCCCGGCCCGCCUCGACCGUCCCCGAGCCCCGCUCUUCCCCGCUGGCCGGCUGCCCGCACAUCACUGACAGCAGUGCUCUGGCCCAAGUCCAGAAACGGGAUCUUCUCUUGGGCCGGUCACACACGGCCCCUGAUGCCUCCCCGCACCUCGUCCUUGUCCUGGAGGCCGCGGGACGCGCUGCCCUCUGGCGUGGCUUCGGUGCCACUAGGAAGAUCUCUGUUCUGCUUAAGAUCCCCGGAAGCCCGAGAAGCCGCAGGAAGCUGGAAGGAGAAGCGAGGGCCAAGGAAGGAGCAGGCGCGAACAGGAGACACAGCCCGAGCUGGGAUGUGACUGGAAAGACCCUACCGGUGAGAGAGCCCCAGGAGCACCGCGGGGUGACCUCAGCCAGUCUCCCCCCGGAGAGCCCGAAUUCCUCAGAGCGCCCUGGCCUGAGGCAGAAGAGCGUCAAUUCCAUUGCUUUCCUUGGCACAAACCACCUCUGACCCACAGGCUUUUAGAAGCUUCGCUGACCCCAGGGCUAGGCUGACAAAUGCGGCCCCAGAAUAAACAAAUCCAGCUUAGGGCGUCUUUGGCUUCACCUCCUCGAACAGACCCUUGAUUGGAAUCAACCUGCUCUCAGUCUUUAGAACAAAUCAGUGUUUUGUUUGUAGAGCUUCACUGUAUAUUUACUUUCAAUUCAAUUUUUAAAUAUUAAUG
rnacentral:lncRNA from 1 species